CCAGCGCGUCUAACUGCAGGUGACGCUGAGGUUUGGUGUUUACACUAGACUGAUGAGUUGCGAACGGGUGAGUAACGCGUAGGUAACCUGCCUCAUAGCGGGGGAUAACUAUUGGAAACGAUAGCUAAUACCGCAUAAGAGUAAUUAACACAUGUUAGUUAUUUAAAAGGAGCAAUUGCUUCACUGUGAGAUGGACCUGCGUUGUAUUAGCUAGUUGGUGAGGUAAAGGCUCACCAAGGCGACGAUACAAAGCCGACCUGAGAGGGUGAUCGGCCACACUGGGACUGAGACACGGCCCAUACUCCUACGGGAGGCAGCAGUAGGGAAUCUUCGGCAAUGGACGGAAGUCUGACCGAGCAACGCCGCGUGAGUGAAGAAGGUUUUCGGAUCGUAAAGCUCUGUUGUUAGAGAAGAACGUUGGUAGGAGUGGAAAAUCUACCAAGUGACGGUAACUAACCAGAAAGGGACGGCUAACUACGUGCCAGCAGCCGCGGUAAUACGUAGGUCCCGAGCGUUGUCCGGAUUUAUUGCGCGUACAGCGAGCGCAGGCGGUUCUUUAAGUCUGAAGUUAAAGGCAGUGGCUUAACCAUUGUACGCUUUGGAAACUGGAGGACUUGAGUGCAGAAAGGGAGAGUGGAAUUCCAUGUGUAGCGGUGAAAUGCGUAGAUAUAUGGGAGGAACACCGGUGGGCGAAGCGGCUCUCUGGUCUGUAACUGGAGCUGAGGCUCGAAAGCGUGGGGAGCAAACCAGAUUAAUAACCUGGUAGUCCACGCCCUAAAACAAGAGUGCUAGGUGUUAGGCCUUUUCCGGGCCUUAUGGCCGCACU
rnacentral:rRNA from 1 species